CUCGCCGCGGAGGCUGCGGACCGACGGCGGGCGGGGAGUGCCGCCGUCAUCAUAAUACAUCUUGAAGGAAAGCAGCACCAGUGCACAUAUGAAUUCCCCAGAACCGUGUGCUGUCUGUGGAACAGCAGUAAACAGCCCUGGGGCUGCAGAAAAUAGUGCGCUGCUGCAUGUGCUGACCUCACUGCUGGAGCCGGCGCCGUCGGCCUGUGCGCCGGUCGGCCUCCUCUGUCGGCCCUGCGGCCAGCUGCUGACCGAGGCGUCGGUGCUGCAGGCGCGGCUCGAACAGCUCAAGAGAGCCGUGCUUAGG